rnacentral:tRNA from 1 species
AAAGCUUUAGCUUAAUUAAAGCGCUUGCUUUGCAAGCAGGACAUGUGAGUUAAAGUCUCGCAAGUUUUA